rnacentral:rRNA from 1 species
GCGGACGGGUGAGUAAUGCCUAGGAAUCUGCCUGGUAGUGGGGGAUAACGUUCGGAAACGGACGCUAAUACCGCAUACGCCCUACGGGAGAAAGCAGGGGACCUUCGGGCCUUGCGCUAUCAGAUGAGCCUAGGUCGGAUUAGCUAGUUGGUGGGGUAAUGGCUCACCAAGGCGACGAUCCGUAACUGGUCUGAGAGGAUGAUCAGUCACACUGGAACUGAGACACGGUCCAGACUCCUACGGGAGGCAGCAGUGGGGAAUAUUGGACAAUGGGCGAAAGCCUGAUCCAGCCAUGCCGCGUGUGUGAAGAAGGUCUUCGGAUUGUAAAGCACUUUAAGUUGGGAGG